rnacentral:rRNA from 1 species
GCCAGCAGCUAUAUCACCUGCCACUCAGAGCUGGCAGCCCACUGCAGCUCAGCUGGUGUGAGCCUGGUCAGUACCUGGAUGGGAGACCUCCUGGGAAAAACUAAGGUUGCUGCUGGAA